ensembl:snRNA U6 U6 spliceosomal RNA
GUUUUUGUGUCAGCAGCACAUAUACCAAAAUUGUAACAAUAAGAGAUGAUUAGCACGGCCCCUGUGCAAGAAUGAUAUGCAUAUUUGUGAAAAAAAUUUUUUU